UACGAAGGGUGCAAGCGUUAAUCGGAAUUACUGGGCGUAAAGCGUGCGUAGGCGGUUUCUUAAGUCUGCUGUGAAAGCCCCGGGCUCAACCUGGGAAUGGCGGUGGAUACUGAGGAGCUGGAGUACGGUAGAGGAAGGUGGAAUUCCCGGUGUAGCGGUGAAAUGCGUAGAGAUCGGGAGGAACAUUAGUGGCGAAGGCGGCCUUCUGGACCAGUACUGACGCUGAGGCACGAAAGCGUGGGGAGCAAACAGG
rnacentral:rRNA from 1 species